rnacentral:rRNA from 1 species
ACGAUGCAUCUAGAUUGCGGAUCCGCGCCCGCAGAGUUUGAUCAUGGCUCAGAUUGAACGCUAGCGGGAUGCUUUACACAUGCAAGUCGAACGGCAGCACGAGAGAGCUUGCUCUCUUGGUGGCGAGUGGCGGACGGGUGAGUAAUAUAUCGGAACGUGCCCAGUAGCGGGGGAUAACUACUCGAAAGAGUGGCUAAUACCGCAUACGCCCUACGGGGGAAAGGGGGGGAUUCUUCGGAACCUCUCACUAUUGGAGCGGCCGAUAUCGGAUUAGCUAGUUGGUGGGGUAAAGGCUCACCAAGGCAACGAUCCGUAGCUGGUUUGAGAGGACGACCAGCCACACUGGGACUGAGACACGGCCCAGACUCCUACGGGAGGCAGCAGUGGGGAAUUUUGGACAAUGGGGGAAACCCUGAUCCAGCCAUCCCGCGUGUAUGAUGAAGGCCUUCGGGGUUGUAAAGUACUUUUGGCAGAGAAGAAAAGGUAUCCCCUAAUACGGGAUACUGCUGACGGUAUCUGCAGAAUAAGCACCGGCUAACUACGUGCCAGCAGCCGCGGUAAUACGUAGGGUGCAAGCGUUAAUCGGAAUUACUGGGCGUAAAGCGUGUGUAGGCGGUUCGGAAAGAAAGAUGUGAAAUCCCAGGGCU